GCCCCCUACGGGAGGCAGCAGUCGAGAAUCAUCCACAAUGGGGGCACCCCUGCUGGUGCGCCCCCGCGUGGUGGAAUGAAGGUCUUCGGAUUGUAAACCCCUGUCAUGUGGGAGCAAAUUAAAAAGAUAGUACCACAAGAGGAAGAGACGGCUAACUCUGUGCCAGCAGCCGCGGUAAUACAGAGGUCUCAAGCGUUGUUCGGAAUCACUGGGCGUAAAGCGUGCGUAGGCUGUUUCGUAAGUCGUGUGUGAAAGGCGCGGGCUCAACCCGCGGACGGCACAUGAUACUGCGAGACUAGAGUAAU
rnacentral:rRNA from 1 species